rnacentral:rRNA from 1 species
UACGGAGGGGGCUAGCGUUGUUCGGAAUUACUGGGCGUAAAGCGCACGUAGGCGGCUUUGCAAGUUAGAGGUGAAAGCCCAGGGCUCAACCCUGGAAUUGCCUUUAAGACUGCAUCGCUUGAACAUCGGAGAGGUAAGUGGAAUUCCGAGUGUAGAGGUGAAAUUCGUAGAUAUUCGCAAGAACACCAGUGGCGAAGGCGGCUCACUGGCCCGGUACUGACGCUGAGGUGCGAAAGCGUGGGGAGCAAACAGG